rnacentral:lncRNA from 1 species
AUUCUAUUGAAGUUAAGUAUUUUCUGUACUUCAGAGACUUUUAAUUUCUUAAUUUCAAUUUCUAUUUAUUUAUUUAUUUAUUUAUUAUUUUCUUAAUUCAGUUUAUUUGUCUCCCUCUCAGGAUGAUUCUGAAUGGGAAGUUCAAACACCUUCAGAGGUCACAGCUGAUGCAAAUAUCAAGUACAGGUACAGAGAUAAAUCUUUAUGAAAUAUUACAUACUUGUAACAUGACAUAUAUAAUAUUACAUCUUCUGAGAGCAUCUUUGUCAGUGUUAUAUUUGUGUUUUUCAGUGUCAGCUCCUCUGCAGGGCAGCAUGAAUGUUCAGAGACUGGCCUCCGCUGGCGGUCUGACAGUGAUGUCAGUUUGGAGUAUCAGUUUGUUGACUGGGAAUCAUUACAUGAAGAUAUCAUGAAGAACUACAAACCAUGUGGAACUUUGAUGGACAUCACUGUAACCUCUGGUACUCUGGAGGAAAUUCAUCUACCUCACUUCAUCUGUGUAGAUUCUGUAUCUUCAUCAGAUGAUGCAGUGAAAGCUCUUCAUGUAAACGGCAGUGAAGCUUCAUUGGAGAGAUGUGAACUAACCAGAUUUCAUGCCAAGCUCCUCAAUCCCACCUUCUCACUCUUGGGAGUUAUUGCACAUUUGCAUCAGUACUUCACCAUGAAAUUUCACUGUGAAACUUUGAUUUAUCGCAACAAAAUUGCUGCCCUUAACCUUCAUGUGUACCUGAUUUUAAAGAAUAAAAAACUUAAGAAGGUAAAAUCUAAUGAUAAACUUUAUGAGAGGCUAUGUAACUGA